UACGGGGGGAGCAAGCGUUGUUCGGAUUUACUGGGCGUAAAGGGCGCGUAGGCGGCCACCGCAAGUCGGUUGUGAAAUCUCCGGGCUUAACCCGGAAAGGUCAAUCGAUACUGUGGGGCUAGAGUGCAGAAGGGGCAACUGGAAUUCUCGGUGUAGCGGUGAAAUGCGUAGAUAUCGAGAGGAACACCUGCGGCGAAGGCGGGUUGCUGGGCUGACACUGACGCUGAUGCGCGAAAGCUAGGGGAGCGAACGGG
rnacentral:rRNA from 1 species